rnacentral:misc_RNA from 1 species
GAUGAAGAACGCAGCGAAAUGCGAUACUUGGUGUGAAUCGCAGAAUCCCGUGAACCAUCGAGUCUUUGAACGCAAGUUGCGCCCGAAGCCAUUAGGCCGAGGGCACGCCUGCCUGGGCGUCACACGUCGUUGCCCCCCCAUCUACUCCUUCGGGAUUGCGGGGGGCGGAUGAUGGCCUCUCGUGCGCCUCGUCGCGCGGUUGGCCUAAAUGCCAAGUCCUCGGCGACGCACGCCACGACAAUCGGUGGUUGCGAAACCUCGGUUGCCUGUCGUGUGCGGUCGUCGCGCAUCGAGGGCUCGAAAAAAUUGCCGGGCUUCGGCUCGACUUUCAACGCGACCCCAGGUCAGGCGGGGUUACCCGCUGAAUUUAAGCAUAUCAAUAAGCGGAGGA